CUUCACUCUACCUUACAUUUCAGUCUUAUAUCCUCACCUUCCUUCGUUGGAUUCUCUAAUAUAGACUCAGCUGUAAUUCAGUCCUAUUAUCAAGUAAUAUAAACAAUAUUUGGAGCUUCACUGUUACACGAACUCACAGAUAAUUCACCUUUAUUGCUAGAAAUCCACCGUACUCUAUCUCUUUCAUCUGUGUUACCUCAAUGACCCUUUUUAGCUUAUGUGACAUCCAAAUAUCUCCACGUGCUUGGAUCCAAAUAUCUCCACGUGCUUGG
rnacentral:misc_RNA from 1 species